GCAACGAUCAGUAGCUGGUCUGAGAGGACGACCAGCCACACUGGGACUGAGACACGGCCCAGACUCCUACGGAGGGCAGCAGUGGGGAAUUUUGGACAAUGGGCGCAAGCCUGAUCCAGCUAUUCCGCGUGUGGGAUGACGGCCCCCGGGUUGUAAACCACUUUAGUAGAGAACGAAAAGGAGCUAUCGAAUAAAUAGCUCUGCUGACGGUACUCUAAGAAUAAGCACCGGCUAACUACGUGCCAGCAGCCGCGGUAAUACGUAGGGUGCGAGCGUUAAUCGGAAUUACUGGGCGUAAAGGGUGUGCAGGCGGCUGAGUAAGACAGAUGUGAAAUCCCCGGGCUUAACCUGGGAACCGCAUAUGUGACUGCUUGGCUAGAGUGCGUCAGAGGGAGGUGGAAUUCCACGUGUAGCAGUGAAAUGCGUAGAUAUGUGGAAGAACACCGAUGGCGAAGGCAGCCUCCUGGGACGCAACUGACGCUCAUACACGAAAGCGUGGGGAGCAAACAGGAUUAGAUACCCUGGUAGUCCACGCCCUAAACGAUGUCAACUAGUUGUUGGGGAUUAAAAUUCUCA
rnacentral:rRNA from 1 species